UACGUAGGGUGCAAGCGUUAAUCGGAAUUACUGGGCGUAAAGCGUGCGCAGGCGGUGAUGUAAGACAGAUGUGAAAUCCCCGGGCUCAACCUGGGAACUGCAUUUGUGACUGCAUCGCUGGAGUGCGGCAGAGGGGGAUGGAAUUCCGCGUGUAGCAGUGAAAUGCGUAGAUAUGCGGAGGAACACCGAUGGCGAAGGCAGCCCCCUGGGCCGAUACUGACGCUCAGGCACGAAAGCGUGGGGAGCAAACAGG
rnacentral:rRNA from 1 species